rnacentral:tRNA from 4 species
CGGGCCGUAGCGCAGCCUGGUAGCGCACUUGCAUGGGGUGCAAGGGGUCGUGAGUUCGAAUCUCACCGGCCCGACCA